rnacentral:rRNA from 1 species
UACGGAGGGGGCUAGCGUUGUUCGGAAUUACUGGGCGUAAAGCGCACGUAGGCGGCUUUGUAAGUUAGAGGUGAAAGCCCGGGGCUCAACUCCGGAAUUGCCUUUAAGACUGCAUCGCUAGAAUUGUGGAGAGGUAAGUGGAAUUCCGAGUGUAGAGGUGAAAUUCGUAGAUAUCAGGAGGAACACCGGUGGUGUAGACGGCUCUCUGGAGCCGUAACUGACGCUGAGGCACGAAAGCGUGGGUAGCAAACAGG